CCAAUAGCGUAUAUUAAAGUUGUUGCAGUUAAAAAGCUCGUAGUUGAAUUUCGGGGUUAGUAGGUUGGUCAUGCCUCUGGUAUGUACUGGUCUCACUGAUUCCUCCUUCCUUAUGAACCGUAAUGCCAUUAAUUUGGUGUUGCGGGAAAUUUGGACUGUUACUUUGAAAAAAUUAGAGUGUUUAAAGCAAGCUAACGCUUGAAUACAUUAGCAUGGAAUAAUGAAAUAGGACGUUCGAUCUUAUUUUGUUGGUUUCUAGGAUUGACGUAAUGAUUAAUAGGGAUAGUUGGGGGCAUUAGUAUUCAAUUGUCAGAGGUGAAAUUCUUGGAUUUAUUGAAGACUAACUACUGCGAAAGCAUUUGCCAAGGAUGUUUUCAUUAAUCAAGAACGAAAGUUAGGGGAUCGAAGACGAUCAGAUACCGUCGUAGUCUUAACCAUAAACUAUGCCGACUAGGGAUCGGAUGAUGUUAAUUUUUUAAUGACUCGUUCGGCGCCUUACG
rnacentral:rRNA from 1 species